rnacentral:rRNA from 1 species
GACGAACGCUGGCGGCGUGCCUAAUACAUGCAAGUAGAACGCUGAAGAGAGGAGCUUGCUCUUCUUGGAUGAGUUGCGAACGGGUGAGUAACGCGUAGGUAACCUGCCUGGUAGCGGGGGAUAACUAUUGGAAACGAUAGCUAAUACCGCAUAAGAGUAGAUGUUGCAUGACAUUUGCUUAAAAGGUGCAAUUGCAUCACUACCAGAUGGACCUGCGUUGUAUUAGCUAGUUGGUGAGGUAACGGCUCACCAAGGCGACGAUACAUAGCCGACCUGAGAGGGUGAUCGGCCACACUGGGACUGAGACACGGCCCAGACUCCUACGGGAGGCAGCAGUAGGGAAUCUUCGGCAAUGGACGGAAGUCUGACCGAGCAACGCCGCGUGAGUGAAGAAGGUUUUCGGAUCGUAAAACUCUGUUGUAAGAGAAGAACGAGUGUGAGAGUGGAAAGUUCACACUGUGACGGUAUCUUACCAGAAAGGGACGGCUAACUACGUGCCAGCAGCCGCGGUAAUACGUAGGUCCCGAGCGUUGUCCGGAUUUAUUGGGCGUAAAGCGAGCGCAGGCGGUUAGAUAAGUCUGAAGUUAAAGGCUGUGGCUUAACCAUAGUACGCUUUGGAAACUGUUUAACUUGAGUGCAAGAGGGGAGAGUGGAAUUCCAUGUGUAGCGGUGAAAUGCGUAGAUAUAUGGAGGAACACCGGUGGCGAAAGCGGCUCUCUGGCUUGUAACUGACGCUGAGGCUCGAAAGCGUGGGGAGCAAACAGG